GUAGCGGUGAAAUGCGUAGAGAUUUGGAGGGAACACCCAGUGGCGAAGGCGACUUUUUUGGUCUGUAACUGACGCUGAGGCGCGAAAGCGUGGGGAGCAAACAGGAUUAGAUACCCUGGUAGUCCACGCCGUAAACGAUGAGUGCUAAGUGUUAGGGGGUUUCCGCCCCUUAGUGCUGCAGCUAACGCAUUAAGCACUCCGCCUGGGGAGUACGGUCGCAAGACUGAAACUCAAAGGAAUUGACGGGGGCCCGCACAAGCGGUGGAGCAUGUGGUUUAAUUUGAAGCAACGCGAAGAACCUUACCAGGUCUUGACAUCUCGUUGACCACUGUAGAGAUAUGGUUUCCCCUUCGGGGGCAACGGUGACAGGUGGUGCAUGGUUGUCGUCAGCUCGUGUCGUGAGAUGUUGGGUUAAGUCCCGCAACGAGCGCAACCCUUGAUCUUAGUUGCCAUCAUUUAGUUGGGCACUUUAAGGUGACUGCCGGUGACAAACCGGAGGAAGGUGGGGAUGACGUCAAAUCAUCAUGCCCCUUAUGACCUGGGCUACACACGUGCUACAAUGGACGAUACAAACGGUUGCCAACUCGCGAGAGGGAGCUAAUCCGAUAAAGUCGUUUUCAGUUCGGAUUGUAG
rnacentral:rRNA from 1 species